rnacentral:misc_RNA from 1 species
GAUGAAGAACGUAGCGAAAUGCGAUAAGUAAUGCGAAUUGCAGAAUUCAGUGAGUCAUCGAAUCUUUGAACGCACAUUGCGCCCUCUGGUAUUCCGGAGGGCAUGCCUGUCCGAGCGUCAUUGCUGCCCUCAAGCACGGCUUGUGUGUUGGGCUCCGUCCCCCGAUCCCGGGGGACGGGCCCGAAAGGCAGCGGCGGCACCGCGUCCGGUCCUCGAGCGUAUGGGGCUUUGUCACCCGCUCUGUAGGCCCGGCCGGCGCUUGCCGAUCAACCAAAUUUUUAUCCAGGUUGACCUCGGAUCAGGUAGGGAUACCCGCUGAACUUAAGCAUAUCAAUAAGCGGAGGA